rnacentral:rRNA from 1 species
CCUACGGGGGGCUGCAGUGGGGAAUAUUGGACUAUGGGGGCAACCCUGAUCCAGCCAUGCCGCGUGUGUGAAGAAGGCCCUCGGGUUGUAAAGCACUUUCAGUGAGGAAGAACGCCUGGUGGUUAAUACCCAUCAGGAAAGACAUCACUCACAGAAGAAGCACCGGCUAACUCCGUGCCAGCAGCCGCGGUAAUACGGAGGGUGCGAGCGUUAAUCGGAAUUACUGGGCGUAAAGCGCGCGUAGGUGGCUUGAUAAGCCGGUUGUGAAAGCCCCGGGCUCAACCUGGGAACGGCAUCCGGAACUGUCAAGCUAGAGUGCAGGAGAGGAAGGUAGAAUUCCCGGUGUAGCGGUGAAAUGCGUAGAGAUCGGGAGGAAUACCAGUGGCGAAGGCGGCCUUCUGGACUGACACUGACACUGAGGUGCGAAAGCGUGGGUAGCAAACAGGAUUAGAUACCCGGGUAGUC